GUAGGCUACGGCGACAUUUACCCAAAAACACCCUGGGGCAAGGCCUUCGCCUGUAUCUGCGUCAUCAGCGGUAUCCUGGUCAUCGCCAUGCCUAUGCCUAUCAUCACAAAGAAC
rfam:Branchiostoma floridae genomic scaffold BRAFLscaffold_228, whole genome shotgun sequence.